GAUGAACGCUGGCGGCGUGCCUAAUACAUGCAAGUCGAACGCAUCACUUCGGUGAUGAGUGGCGAACGGGUGAGUAAUACAUAAGUAACCUAGCCUCUGGAGGGGGAUAACUAUUGGAAACGAUAGCUAAGACCGCAUAGGCAUAGGCAUCGCAUGAUGAAUAUGUUAAAUAUCGCACGGGAUAGCGAGAGGAGGGACUUAUGGCGCAUUAGCUGGUUGGUGAGGUAGAGGCUCACCAAGGCGACGAUGCGUAGCCGACCUGAGAGGGUGGACGGCCACACUGGGACUGAGACACGGCCCAGACUCCUACGGGAGGCAGCAGUAGGGAAUUUUCGGCAAUGGGCGAAAGCCUGACCGAGCAACGCCGCGUGAGGGAGGAAGUACUUCGGUAUGUAAACCUCUGUUAUAAAGGAAGAACGGCAUAUGUAGGGAAUGACAUAUGAGUGACGGUACUUUAUGAGGAAGCCACGGCUAACUACGUGCCAGCCGCCGCAGUAAUAC
rnacentral:rRNA from 1 species